GCGAGAGGGAUUCGCCAGACAGCCCCGCGCGCGCCGCACUGCGUCCCACGGCCCCACCACACAAACCCUAGCUUCCCACGCCCCGCAGCGCCGCACUCCCUCCUCCUCCGUCCUUCUUCGUCAGCCGCCGCCGCCGCUGUUCCGCCUCGCUCCUCUCUGUCCAACGACCACGCCACCACGAGGAAGCCGCUGCGCAAGUGGUCAAGGGACGGCCGCCAUCAUGAGCCAGGGGACGCCCGUUGGCGAGCCUCUGGGCAGGAAGCCAACGGGGAGGAUGCAACAAGCCGCCAGGGUCUUCUCGCUAGAAGGUGGAGGAGUAGAGGAUCCAAAUCCGAGGCGUGCAACGCGGCGGUGAGCGUCUCCGGCAGCGGCGGUGACCUGCGGGCAAAGGGGGACGGCUGGGGUGCUCGAUUCGAUCCAGCGCCAUGAGCCUGUACUUGCUGGAGAGAGAGAGCAGAUGAGGGAAAGAUAGAACGAGAGGAGGGAGAAAUACAGAGGAAAGAGGAGAGGGAGCUGCAAUGGUAGAUGGGAGAUGAACACGGUCUGGGGCCGGCCAUUCGCAUCUCUCCUCCUCUCCUGCUCUUGACCACCAUCGUGCCCUUCCCCCCUUCGCUUCUAGGAGUAGCUAUUUUCCUCGCUCGUCCUGCUGUUUGGCUUGAGUGUUUCUCCUUCCCAAAUCUGGUUGUAUGAUCUGGCCCAUUAUUGCGUCUCCAUUCUGUUCGUUGCUUCGUCUCCGUGUUGCUCGUCAAGAAAAGGAUCUCGUUUUGGACACCACAGCCUCGCUCAUGGCAUGCUUAAGGGUGACCUUUGGGAUGUAUACGGUGAUUGUUCCAUGGGAGUGUGUGCUGAGCUUUGUGCUGACAAUCAUGCCCCGACGAGGGAAGACCAGAGAGAUUCAGUGGUGGUGAAUAUUAAUAUCAAAUAGAGAAGGGCACAUACAAUCGGUCUUUCCAGUGUGAACUGAUCACUAGCAUUAUCACCAUUUUCAUGCAGGUUCAUUGUUUUAUAUCUUGUUUCUCCAUCUCAUACAUCAUCAUGUAUGCUUUGAAACAAUGGCACCAUGUUGCUUUUCUUGUUGGUGCAGUGCCUCCUCUGCCAUGAUGAUGGGCGCCAUGUCCGACCUUACAAAACACCAAGUUCAUGCCAAAAAUGCUCUUUACGUCUAGAUGACAAAUCCAUUAUUCCCUACACUGUCAUGUUGGAUACUCUUUUCUUCAGGGAGAAGUUUAGGUGGUCUGGUAGGUUGCGUGGCAGUGGCUAGCGCGUGGACGAGGAGAGCAAGGGGACGAUGGCUCAUCCAAGAGCCAGUGACGAGGAGGAGUGACGAGGAGGAGCACACAGGGAAGUUGGCUCCAUCCCUGCCUCCUCUAUUGCCAUUGAAGGCUUGAAGCACUGAAAAGGGGAGAGCAAGGGUACACAAUCCCCCGUUCCAGUCCAACCAGGUAAUCCAUGUUGAACAUUUGAAUUUUCCUGCUAAAUGCUUAUUGUUCAAGGAGCAAUGAUAAUAUUCUGCAAGCUGCUUCUGAAGAAUGAUCAUUAGCCUCAUUUAGCUGGAUGUUUUUUCUGGUGAACUAAUGGUGGAUAAUUGAGCUCUCAGUAAUGAUUUGUACCGGAUUAUUUCAAGGGCAACCACUCAGCCAGGGUGACUUACUGGAAUGAUUAUGUCGAUGAUAAGGAGCUAGGGUGAUCUUGCAUUGUACUCAAGAGUAGUAGUUCUAAACAUGUUAGUAAAACAAAAGUAGGUAUGUUUACCCUGGAAUUUAACUCAACCUUAUUCUUUAUUAUGUAGCCACCAUGUGGACAAGCUGGCACCUCCUGGUUACAUUUUGUUCACUUCAUGUGGCAUUAUGUAUGAAGCUCUUUGACAUUGAGGAUCUCUUUAUUUGUUUUUUCCUAACCCUGUCGUGGGAUUCUUAGUAGCCUUUCCUGUAUAUGAACAAAUUGCAAGAGAUACAUGCAAUUCACGGCCUGUGAAAGGUUGUUCGUAUGACACAUCCAUCUCACAGAUCCACCUCCUCUAUAUCUACAGGUAUCUGUCGCUUAUUUCUAUGGGUUCUUUGUAGUUCAAAUGUAGUAUCCUAUAUCAUUUCUGUUUUUAUUAUUAUGCAAAACUGCUUAUUCAGUUACAUGCGCCCUUUGCUAGAGAGUGCAAAAACUGAAAAAUGUUGUGGAGCAAAUUAGAUGGGUGAACUAAUAUAUAAUUAUGUAGUUGUUGUUGGCCGACGAUGGUCCAAAUGGUUAUUCCUUACUAAUAUUCACUUGAUAUUUAACUUAACAUUAUAUUUUAAGGUACCACUUCCUACAUAAUGGAGUGUCUGAUCUCGCUACAUCCAAAAAAGGAGCUUGCAUGAUGCGGCUCUGCGGGAUUUGAUGAUGUAUGCGAAUGUCUGAAUAAGUCCUGAAUUUCUUCCAACAAAUAGACACACUAAUUAGAUUCAGAAACCUAAAGAGAUUGAGUUCUUGAUGCCGCCAUGGGUGUGCAAACGAGCUAGUUUACAUUUGUCCCCAUUACUGCCACGGCGAAAUAACACGUCGCACUACGGCUAUUUAAGCCACACAUCAUCUUCUUCCUCCUCUCACAUCUCUCAUCUAUCUCCCAUCCUCUGCCAUUUGCCCUUCUUGUUCUUUGACCCCUUCUUCUUCUUCACACCCCUAAGCCAUGCAGUACACUGGACCAACCUACCGCUUCCCACCCACCGCGUCGGAGAGGCGCUAUACUGCCGGCGUGUAUGUUGAGCGUACACUACGUGUGUGGGCGAUAUCAAGGUGGAGGACCGCAAGGGGCUUCGCCGAGUUCUUCCUCAUGUCCGGCUACCGCCACCUCCCACGUGGAUCUCCAAGGAUGUUUCGCGUCGAGGAGGUCAUCCAAAACGGGGUGGUGGUUGCUAUCCGUGCCCACUUCACCAACCCCUUCGAUGCCUUCUACCUUCUCGGGCGCGUGUUUUGGUGUGGCUGCAAGUUCAUCGCUUUCACCACCCACAACAUCCUCACGGAGUACAGCAACAUCUUCCCCACCGCGUCGCACACGCACACUCUGCCGUACCACAUCGACAACACGCCGAAGGAGCAGUGAAGGGCACCCGGAGGAGCGAGGUGGAGAAGCCGAUGUCUAGGGUUUAGAACCCUCUAUCUUUUUUUCUUUUUUUGAAUCUAUGUUAUGUUAUUAAGUUGUAAUUGAACUAUAUGAUCGUGCUCUGGGCUUGUUGGCCUAUGUUAUGUUAUUAAGUUUUCUAUCUAUUUA